GCCACAGUGGGAUAGUGGUUUGAGUCUUGGACUAUGACUCUGGGGACCAGGGUUCAAUUCCCAGCUCAGCCA